UAGGGGGUGGCGCAGUCUGGUAGCGCAUCGGGCUCAUAACUCGAAGGUCGUUGGUUCAAAUCCAACCCCCUUAA
rnacentral:tRNA from 1 species